rnacentral:rRNA from 1 species
CUUGACCCUUAUAAGAGGUCCAGCCUGCCCAGUGACACUGUUCAACGGCCGCGGUAUCCUAACCGUGCGAAGGUAGCGUAAUCACUUGUUCUUUAAAUGAGGACUAGUAUGAAAGGCACCACGAGAGUCAUACUGUCUCCUUUCUCUAAUCAGUGAAACUAAUCCCCCCGUGAAGAAGCGGGAAUAAAAAUAUAAGACGAGAAGACCCUAUGGAGCUUUAAACAAAUAAUACUUGCCUACUUCUUUUUAAUUUCAGAAAAACUACCUACACUGGCACUAUAAUUACUAGUUUUCGGUUGGGGUGACCGCGGAGCAAAAACCAACCCCCGCAAUGAAAAAUAUCCCUCCACUAAGUUCAGGACUACGACCCUACACAUCAAUAAAUUGUCAUCGAUUGACCCAACAUGUUGAUCAAUGAAC